CAGCCCUUGUGUCAUGCCUAGUGUGUUGGUAGCCCGGUAUUAAAUUGUCGACACGAGACGACAUUCCUUUUGACAUUUCUUUUCCCUUGAGAUGCUGUCGGAGAAGGUUACCUUAGCCAUUGGCACAUGUCGACAUUCUUUCCUGACGUUUUUCAUUUAUGCCUGGUGAAUUCUGAGCUUUUUCAUUGCAUUACGUGCACGUGAUCGCUGCCUUGGCAUGAAGAGGGUCUCCACUAUUUUGCAAGACUAUUCAGAUGAAAAGAGGAAACUAAGUUACUUGUAAGCUAAGUUGAGAAGGUUUCCUUGUUCAGUUUGAACUGUUAAUGGUGUUGUCUGGUGUGCAGUGAUUUUGCAGUCAUUCAGUCGUGACAUGCCCUGAGAUGGAUGAUCAACCGCUAAAAAAACUUUUCUCACAUUGUCUUUUUCAAUGAAGACGCUAUCCGAGAAGGUUUAGCUUGGCCAUUGCAGCCCGGUGGAGUCUAAAAGCUUCUUUAUUGCGCUGCGUGCACGUGAUCGCUGCCGUUUGAUGAAGGUUCUCUAACUAAUAAGAGGGUCUCUACUACAUUGCAAGACAACAUUGUGAUGGAAAUAGGAAAUCUGAAUGAAAUACUAAUAAUUUUGAUGUUUGAACUGGUUUGUUGUGGCUGUUUGGUGUGCAGUCGUUUCCCAGGAGAGAUGUGUUCAAAAGGUGCUUGAGCAGACUUGCUUACAAUGGGAAGUUUUUCCAGGGAUAAAGCGCCUGAUGUUGGCAACAUCGCUAUCUUAUGCCACUGAGCCUGAUAACAUCUUCUAUCGAGUAUGGAGACCAGUUACAUUGUUCGUGAUUAAAAUGCGGUCAAAUUCAACAUUCUUCUCUACUAUAACUCGGAAGGAUUAAUGGCUUGGUGAAGUUGAGCUUUAUCAUGGCAGUCAAAUGUCUGCAUGGAAUUGUUGCAGCCAGCUGGUGAAGGUUUUGUAGUGAGCUGUUGCAUGAUGACCAUGUGCUGGUGUGGGGAAGUGCUGCAUGCUGUCUGGUGUUGGUUUGAAUUAUUUUCAUUGCCUUAACUACUAAGUGUUUGAAUCAAUCAUUUUAUAUUUGUUGGCUGAAGUUAAACUUGCAAUUCUUGUUUUUGUCUGAAAAUUUUUUCAUUUGAAUUUUUUUACAUUUCAAAGUGUCAUUCUGUUCAUUGAUAUUCUUUUGCUCUGUAGGUUUCCAUCAUCAGUUAGAUGUAUGAGCUAAUUAUGAUGUUUCUUUUUGAUGUGCAGUUUAUGUUCAGGUGUUUUUGUUGCAGUCAGCUAGUGAAAAGGAGUUCAAGUCGUGUAGAGCUGUGGCUUAUUGUAGCGGUCAGCAAUGCUGGUUUUAUUCUGAAGAGCAAUAUCAAUGAAGACAUUCUGAAAUGAUUUGGUGACCAUGUGAUCAACAAUAUGCUGAAUGGAGUCUAUGCUGUUUUUGUUGAGUGGAGAAGUAAGACUUGAAGCAAGGCUGCAAGAAAAUGAAAUGGUUUCGGCGUAAAUGUGCAGUCGCUUUGCAGUCUCAAUCCUGUUCAAGCUGUUGCUAUCCUGAAUAUGCUGGAGUCUUGGAAGUAGCAGAUCCUGAAGUUGGGUUGCUGGUGUUAUCCUGAAGAAGCUGAUGUUGAUGUUAUUAAGUUAAUGUGCCAGUUCAGUUCUGGUUGUUCAAAAUUAUAUCCAUGUUAUAUGUGAUUUUAGCAACCUUGAGAUUUCUUAUCAACUAAGACAUGUUCCAACCUGUUAAUAACUGAAACAGCACUCCUUCCUGAAAUUUCCUCACCCAUAUAUUUUUAAAUAAUUCUUAAAUAAUGGGAUGUCAAAACUUGCAAUAUUAUACCUUGUGCAUUAUUAUAUCUGAUAUAUUUUUCAUAAAUUGUGAAAUUUUUAAACAAAUUAAAAUACAAUCAAUUAUAUGAAAC